rnacentral:rRNA from 1 species
AUACGGGGGGUGCAAGCGUUGUUCGGAAUCAUUGGGCGUAAAGCGCGUGUAGGUGGCUUAGUAAGUCAGAUGUGAAAGCCCUCGGCUCAACCGCGGAAGUGCAUUUGAAACUGCUAAACUUGAGUACGGGAGAGGGAAGCGGAAUUCCUAGUGUAGAGGUGAAAUGCGUAGAUAUCCGGAGGAACAUCAGUGGCGAAGGCGACUUGCUGGACUAAUACUGACGCUGAGGAGCGAAAGCGUGGGGAGCAAACGGGAUUAGAAACCCCGGUAGUCC